rnacentral:rRNA from 1 species
GCUUGCUAGAAGAUGACGAGCGGCGGACGGGUGAGUAACGCGUAGGAAUCUGCCUAGUAGUGGGGGACAACAUGUGGAAACGCAUGCUAAUACCGCAUACGCCCUACGGGGGAAAGGAGGGGAUCUUCGGACCUUUCGCUAUUAGAUGAGCCUGCGUGAGAUUAGCUAGUUGGUGGGGUAAAGGCCUACCAAGGCGACGAUCUCUAGCUGGUCUGAGAGGAUGAUCAGCCACACUGGGACUGAGACACGGCCCAGACUCCUACGGGAGGCAGCAGUGGGGAAUAUUGGACAAUGGGCGCAAGCCUGAUCCAGCCAUGCCGCGUGUGUGAAGAAGGCCUUAGGGUUGUAAAGCACUUUCAGAGGUGAGGAAGGGUGUGUAGUUAAUACCUGCAUAUCUUGACGAUAACUCCAGAAGAAGCACCGGCUAACUCUGUGCCAGCAGCCGCGGUAAUACAGAGGGUGCGAGCGUUAAUCGGAAUUACUGGGCGUAAAGCGCGCGUAGGCGGGUUGUUAACCCGGAUGUGAAAUCCCAGGGCUCACCCUUGGGAUGUCACCCGAUACUGGGAUGCUAUAGGACUCUGCAGCGGUGUG